CUGUAGUACACACAUUAUUUGGCCCUUUACUGUAGCAGUGUAGCAUUAUUAGCAUCAAACUGGGACGUGAAUACAUCUGGGGAAAUAAAUAUGUAGACAUGUUUGAAAACAGAUAUUAAACAGUGAAUGCUCUGUCUGGAAAUAUUAUU